ACAUAAGCAAUGAAACAGUUCAGUAGUGGCCUGAGCAACGGUGCAGAGAGCCGACGGGAGUGCGAGUCGGAACGUCUGAGGACAUGAAUUACCCUGUGGAGCGGCUGACGAGUUCAGCGGGUCAUUCCGUUAACGAUGACGAGCGGUUGUCAUGCGACAACAACUUGGGUGGUAACGCGGAUUUUGAAUUCGUCCCUGAU
rnacentral:ncRNA from 1 species